rnacentral:misc_RNA from 1 species
AUAUCUAUCAACCUCUGCAAGCUUGUUUUGCUUAAUGAGUGUUGGAUGUGGGGGGUAUUUGCUGGCAUGUUAUUGAUGUCAGCUCCCCUGAAAUGUAUUAGCAGAACAAUUUGUUGACCUUGUUCAUUGGUGUGAUAAUUCAUCUACGCUAUUGACUGUGAAGCAAAGUUCAGCUUUCUAAUGGUCUAUUGACUUAGACAAUAUUUUCAUUA